UGGAGUUAUAGGUUAAAUAUUUAGGUUAUAUGGUAACAUAUGCUAUAACUUAGAAACAGUUUCCACUAUUUCUACUAUGUUACGACUUAUCUAAAAUUGAAUUUAGAGUGACGGGCGAUUUGUGCAUAUUAUAAUUUAUAUUCAUUUUUUAAGGUUAAUGAAAAUUACUUUUAAGUCCAUCUUCAAUACUGGUUAUUCAGUAGAUCUGCAAUUUUAAUUAAUGUAACUCGCCUGAACUUUUAUAUUUUCUGCACCGUGGUCUGUUGUGAGUACAAAUAUUUUUGGUCAAAUAUAAAAUUCAACCAUAACGAGGGCAUACAAAAUCUCAAUAAAAGUAAAUUAAGCUUGGUGGUUAUCAUUUACUCGGUAAGUUCCCCUAAAAUUUUAUAAUACCGCCAUGUUUAUUAAGUUUGAACUUAUAAUGUUUUACUGCUUAAAGUGUUUUGUUAGUUAUUGAAUAAGAGGGUAUCUAAUCCUCGUUUUAGUCCAAUUUUGAUAAAGUAGGUUGAACAUUUAGGUUGACUCUAAAUCUAUUUUACUAGUAUUUAAAGAUAUACCUUCAUUACACUCUUUAUAAUAUUUACAUCAGUAUAGUAUGACCGCGUUUGCUGGCACUAUAUUUAACCUAAUGUACAAUAAAUGUUUUAUCUUGCUGUCGCAAAUUUUAAAAUUUUCUUAACUGGUGGGCUCAAAAAAUACCAUUAUUAUCUAAUAUUGUUAAAUUAUUAAUACCUAAACAGUUAU
rnacentral:rRNA from 1 species